ensembl:snoRNA SNORD73 Small nucleolar RNA SNORD73
AAUAGAUGAUGACAAUGUGUUUCGGUCCCAUAUGAUGUCCGGUGAUAAAACUGUUAACAUUUUUCUGAUGUU